ensembl:misc_RNA Metazoa_SRP Metazoan signal recognition particle RNA
GCCAGGCGUGGUGGCGGGCGCCUGUAAUCCCAGCUACUCGGGAGGCUGAGGCAGGAGAAUUGCUUGAACCCAGGAGGCAGAGGUUGCAGUGAGCCAAGAUUGCACCACUGCACUCCAGCCUGGGUGACAGAGUGAGACUCCGUCUCCA